CGAUGCGAUCAUACCAGCACUAAAGCACCGGAUCCCAUCAGAACUCCGAAGUUAAGCGUGCUUGGGCGAGAGUAGUACUAGGAUGGGUGACCUCUUGGGAAGUCCUCGUGUUGCAUUCC
rnacentral:rRNA from 1 species